rnacentral:rRNA from 1 species
GAUGAACGCUGGCGGCGUGCCUAAUACAUGCCAGUCGAGCGAACAGACGAGGAGCUUGCUCCUCUGACGUUAGCGGCGGACGGGUGAGUAACACGUGGAUAACCUACCUAUAAGACUGGGAUAACUUCGGGAAACCGGAGCUAAUACCGGAUAAUAUAUUGAACCGCAUGGUUCAAUAGUGAAAGACGGUUUUGCUGUCACUUAUAGAUGGAUCCGCGCCGCAUUAGCUAGUUGGUAAGGUAACGGCUUACCAAGGCAACGAUGCGUAGCCGACCUGAGAGGGUGAUCGGCCACACUGGAACUGAGACACGGUCCAGACUCCUACGGGAGGCAGCAGUAGGGAAUCUUCCGCAAUGGGCGAAAGCCUGACGGAGCAACGCCGCGUGAGUGAUGAAGGUCUUCGGAUCGUAAAACUCUGUUAUUAGGGAAGAACAAAUGUGUAAGUAACUAUGCACGUCUUGACGGUACCUAAUCAGAAAGCCACGGCUAACUGCGUG